rnacentral:rRNA from 1 species
UCAAAUGAAUUGACGGGGCCCGCACAAGCAGCGGAGCGUGUGGUUUAAUUCGAUGUUACACGAAGAACCUUACCAGGGUUUGACAUGCAAGUGGUAGGAAGCCGAAAGGUGACCGACCUUCGGGGAGCUUGCACAGGUGCUGCAUGGCUGUCGUCAGCUCGUGUCGUGAGAUGUUCGGUUAAGUCCGCUAACGAGCGCAACCCUCGCUGUGUGUUAUAUGUGUCACACGGGACUGCCGGUCUUAAGCCGGAGGAAGUGGGAUGAUGUCAAGUCAGCAUGGCCUUUAUGACCAGGGCUACACACGUACUACAAUGGCCGGUACAAAGGGCAGCGACACAGCGAUGUGAAGCGAAUCCCGAAAAGCCGGUCUCAGUCCGGAUUGGAGUCUGCAACUCGACUCCAUGAAGUUGGAAUCGCUAGUAAUCGCGGAUCAGCACGCCGCGGUGAAUACGUUCCCGGGCCUU